rnacentral:rRNA from 1 species
AUUGAACGCUGGCGGCAUGCUUUACACAUGCAAGUCGAACGGCAGCGCGGGCUUCGGCCUGGCGGCGAGUGGCGAACGGGUGAGUAAUACAUCGGAACGUGCCCAGUAGUGGGGGAUAGCUCGGCGAAAGCCGGAUUAAUACCGCAUACGACCUGAGGGUGAAAGCGGGGGAUCUUAGGACCUCGCGCUAUUGGAGCGGCCGAUGGCAGAUUAGCUAGUUGGUGGGGUAAAGGCCUACCAAGGCGACGAUCUGUAGCUGGUCUGAGAGGACGACCAGCCACACUGGGACUGAGACACGGUGCAGACUCCUACGGGAGGCAGCAGUGGGGAAUUUUGGACAAUGGGCGAAAGCCUGAUCGAGCAAUGCCGCGUGUGUGAUGAAGGCCUUCGGGUUGUAAAGCACUUUUGGCGGGAACGAAAAGGACUGUGCCAAUACCACGGUUCGAUGACGGUACCCGCAGAAUAAGCACCGGCUAACUACGUG